AGUGAACGCUGGCGGUAGGCCUAACACAUGCGAGUCGAACGGCAGCACAGUAAGAGCUUGCUCUUACGGGUGGCGAGUGGCGGACGGGUGAGGAAUACAUCGGAAUCUACUUUUUCGUGGGGGAUAACGUAGGGAAACUUACGCUAAUACCGCAUACGACCUACGGGUGAAAGCAGGGGAUCUUCGGACCUUGCGCGAUUGAAUGAGCCGAUGUCGGAUUAGCUAGUUGGCGGGGUAAAGGCCCACCAAGGCGACGAUCCGUAGCUGGUCUGAGAGGAUGAUCAGCAACACGGGAACUGAGAAACGGUCCAGACCCCUAGGGGAGGCAGAGGGGGGGAAUAUUGGACAAUGGGCGCAAGCCUGAUCCAGCCAUACCGCGUGGGUGAAGAAGGCCUUCGGGUUGUAAAGCCCUUUUGUUGGGAAAGAAAAGCGGCAGGUUAAUACCCCGCUGUUCUGACGGUACCCAAAGAAUAAGCACCGGCAAACUUCGU
rnacentral:rRNA from 1 species